rnacentral:rRNA from 1 species
GACUACUGGGGGCAGCAGUGGGGAAUAUUGGACAAUGGGGGGAACCCUGAUCCAGCCAUGCCGCGUGUGUGAAGAAGGCCCUCGGGUUGUAAAGCACUUUCAGUGAGGAAGAACGCCUGGUGGUUAAUACCCAUCAGGAAAGACAUCACUCACAGAAGAAGCACCGGCUAACUCCGUGCCAGCAGCCGCGGUAAUACGGAGGGUGCGAGCGUUAAUCGGAAUUACUGGGCGUAAAGCGCGCGUAGGUGGCUUGAUAAGCCGGUUGUGAAAGCCCCGGGCUCAACCUGGGAACGGCAUCCGGAACUGUCAAGCUAGAGUGCAGGAGAGGAAGGUAGAAUUCCCGGUGUAGCGGUGAAAUGCGUAGAGCUCGGGAGGAAUACCAGUGGCGAAGGCGGCCUUCUGGACUGACACUGACACUGAGGUGCGAAAGCGUGGGUAGCAAACAGCAUUAGAUACCCUAGUAGUC